rnacentral:sRNA from 1 species
CGCAUACUCACAUGCAAUUGGCUAAGAAUUUUUUUAUAUUUUAAUUUAUAUAUAUUUCCGACAUCUAUUUCCCAUUACUAACAUAAUUUUCUUUUCUUUUGCAGGUUGAUUACAUAUGGUUUUGGUUUUCAGCAAUGAAAACCGUAAAAUAACGACGCCCUUCCAGCUUUAAUAUUCUUGGCAAAAAUUUAUCGCUGGCGGCAUCGCAACGAGGGAUUGGGAAACUUGUGUGGGAGAAGAUCUAUCCCUCCACAACAAUGCACCCAGGUUCCCCUAUGAUUUAUUUUGGAAAUUGAUAUUUUUUAAGGUGGUUAUUGUGGCAUCCACGGUGGAAAAAAUGCCACACUGAGCGAACCAAGCAACGUUUUUUUUCGCAGCAUGGCCGUAUCGCGCCCGCAACAAAUUUGUCGUAGUAUACACAAAUAUCAUAUCAGUCAUUUGGUAUUUGUGUUGUAGCACUGCGUAAAUCAGUCCCAAACAUUUGCGUGGUUUGGCAACAUCCCAAACAGAUAGCCGCUAAAUUCAGGCAAAUACCCCCGUCUGGAGGAACCUAGGCCGGGUUUAAACGUUCACAUGACGAUUUAGAUGGAUGAUCAGACGUAAAAAUUUUCACAAGCUCAGACGGAAGGGAGAGCGGGCACAAUUCCAACUUUGGGGUCAAAAAUCUGGUGUCCCGGGUCCGUCCCCCAUGAAAAAAUAGUUUACCAGAAUCAGGGUAAAAAUACCUACCUCUGAGAACAAUUUUGAAAAAAUUUAAGAGUUUUUACUAAAUUAGAGUUAAGCCUUCAAAGUGUGUACUUAAGUAUGUGCACGAAAAGUACUAAAUGUUAUUAUAUUUGGCAAAAUCUCGAUUUGGAUGAACCGAUAGAGCUGGACUGCUAAAAUUUGGAAAAAAAAGGUAGCAAUUGCACUGAGGUUUGUAGGCUGUUUUUGAAUUUCGUACUUAUGUGUACUAAAUUCGAUGCAAUUUAAUAUUUGACAAAACCAAUAGAGUUGGAAUCAUGACCUGUUGUAUUGCAGGAUUGGAAUAUGUAGUAAAUUUUGGGAAAUUCCUAGUUAUGUGUACUGCAAUGUA